UGCAGCUGGUGCCUGGUUCGCUCUGUCCAGACACAGCUCUGGGCUUGCAGCCUCUGCUGCCCUGAUGGGACAGCAACCCUGGGCAUCGCUGGAGACUCUGAGGUCUGCACAGGGCACCAUCCUGUAUUCUGUAGGGUCCAGAGACCCAGAGAGGGAGGCUGGCCCAGCGCCCUGGUAGGAGAAAGGCCAGUGAUGUCAUCGGGGUGCUGAGGCUGGCAGCCGCCUUCUACUGGACAUUACUGCUGAGAACCAGCCAGGUGCCUGCACUCGCUGCCGUGAGUAAUUGCCCAGUGGCCCGUGAGGUGCUGGCAGUUCCUCCAUUUACGAGUUAGGAAACAGGCACAGAGAGACCAGGUGGCCUGUCCCAGCAGCACUGCUCUGGCUCUUGACCCCCAUAGCAGCAGCGAAACGGCUGAAAUCAAUAUAGAUUUAUCCGUUCUCACCAGGCUGUGGGCACCUUGCAGGUCUGCGCUCCUAGCUGGGGGCCCAGGGAGACUCUGCUUCCAGGAUUGCCUGCGUGUGGGAGGAACCCAGCUGCCAGCUGCAGGACUGAGGUCCCAUCUCCACCCUGGCCUCUCACAGGGCCCUCAGUUCUGCCAAGCAGCAAGCAAUGCCACACCUCAGCCUCUCACUCUGCUCUUCGGUUCCCUGGACCCCCAGCCCAAGCUCCGGUGAUUACCAGGGCUGUCCACGUGCACCCACACCGUGUACUCGCCGCGUGGCCUGUCGAGAACACAGCGUCCCCCUGCCCCUGAUUUCCCAGGAGAGCUGCACGUCCAUGACGGUGGUCUCACAGGCAUGCAUGGCCACGGAGCACGGGAACGUGCACCCCUGCCGGGAGCGCACAGGAAGACUGCAUGUCGGGUUCUGAGGCUUCCUAUGAAACAGAGAACCUGAAAUAUCUAAUUUUUUAUGUUGAUUACAGAUUUAAAUGAUAACUUUUUUAUAGAUUGGGUUUAACAAAAUAUUAAAACUAAUGACACCUAUUGGCCCGGUGCGGUGGCUCACGCCUGUAAUCCCAACACUUUGGGAGGCCAAGGCGGGCAGAUCACGAAGUCAGGAGAUCGAGACCAUCCUGGCUAACAAAGUGAAACCCCGUCUCUACUAAAAAUACAAAAAACUAGCGAGUCAUGGUGGCGGGCGCCUGUAGUCCCAGCUACUCUGGAGACUGAGGCAGGAGAAUGGCGUGAACCCAGGAGGCGGAGCUUGCAGUGAGCUGAGAUUGCGCCACUGCACCCCAGCCUGGGAAACAGAGCAAGACUUCGUC